UGUUGGGUAGGGGAGCGUUCUGUAAGCCUGCGAAGGUGUGCUGUGAGGCAUGCUGGAGGUAUCAGAAGUGCGAAUGCUGACAUAAGUAACGAUAAAGCGGGUGAAAAGCCCGCUCGCCGGAAGACCAAGGGUUCCUGUCCAACGUUAAUCGGGGCAGGGUGAGUCGACCCCUAAGGCGAGGCCGAAAGGCGUAGUCGAUGGGAAACAGGUUAAUAUUCCUGUACUUGGUGUUACUGCGAAGGGGGGACGGAGAAGGCUAUGUUGGCCGGGCGACGGUUGUCCCGGUUUAAGCGUGUAGGCUGGUUUUCCAGGCAAAUCCGGAAAAUCAAGGCUGAGGCGUGAUGACGAGGCACUACGGUGCUGAAGCAACAAAUGCCCUGCUUCCAGGAAAAGCCUCUAAGCAUCAGGUAACAUCAAAUCGUACCCCAAACCGACACAGGUGGUCAGGUAGAGAAUACCAAGGCGCUUGAGAGAACUCGGGUGAAGGAACUAGGCAAAAUGGUGCCGUAACUUCGGGAGAAGGCACGCUGAUAUGUAGGUGAAGUCCCUUGCGGAUGGAGCUGAAAUCAGUCGAAGAUACCAGCUGGCUGCAACUGUUUAUUAAAAACACAGCACUGUGCAAACACGAAAGUGGACGUAUACGGUGUGACGCCUGCCCGGUGCCGGAAGGUUAAUUGAUGGGGUCAGCGCAAGCGAAGCUCUUGAUCGAAGCCCCGGUAAACGGCGGCCGUAACUAUAACGGUCCUAAGGUAGCGAAAUUCCUUGUCGGGUAAGUUCCGACCUGCACGAAUGGCGUAAUGAUGGCCAGGCUGUCUCCACCCGAGACUCAGUGAAAUUGAACUCGCUGUGAAGAUGCAGUGUACCCGCGGCAAGACGGAAAGACCCCGUGAACCUUUACUAUAGCUUGACACUGAACAUUGAGCCUUGAUGUGUAGGAUAGGUGGGAGGCUUUGAAGUGUGGACGCCAGUCUGCAUGGAGCCGGCCUUGAAAUACCACCCUUUAAUGUUUGAUGUUCUAACGUGGACCCGUGAUCCGGGUUGCGGACAGUGUCUGGUGGGUAGUUUGACUGGGGCGGUCUCCUCCUAAAGAGUAACGGAGGAGCACGAAGGUUGGCUAAUCCUGGUCGGACAUCAGGAGGUUAGUGCAAUGGCAUAAGCCAGCUUGACUGCGAGCGUGACGGCGCGAGCAGGUGCGAAAGCAGGUCAUAGUGAUCCGGUGGUUCUGAAUGGAAGGGCCAUCGCUCAACGGAUAAAAGGUACUCCGGGGAUAACAGGCUGAUACCGCCCAAGAGUUCAUAUCGACGGCGGUGUUUGGCACCUCGAUGUCGGCUCAUCACAUCCUGGGGCUGAAGUAGGUCCCAAGGGUAUGGCUGUUCGCCAUUUAAAGUGGUACGCGAGCUGGGUUUAGAACGUCGUGAGACAGUUCGGUCCCUAUCUGCCGUGGGCGCUGGAGAACUGAGGGGGGCUGCUCCUAGUACGAGAGGACCGGAGUGGACGCAUCACUGGUGUUCGGGUUGUCAUGCCAAUGGCACUGCCCGGUAGCUAAAUGCGGAAGAGAUAAGUGCUGAAAGCAUCUAAGCACGAAACUUGCCCCGAGAUGAGUUCUCCCUGACCCUUUAAGGGUCCUGAAGGAACGUUGAAGACGACGACGUUGAUAGGCCGGGUGUGUAAGCGCAGCGAUGCGUUGAGCUAACCGGUACUAAUGAACCGUGAGG
rnacentral:rRNA from 1 species